GGUCUAUUAGUGUAGUGGUUAGCACGUGGGAUUUUGAUGCCCUCUCAGCUCAUUUCAACUCUUCCCGAGUCGCAGGUUCGAGCCCUGCAUAGACCU